rnacentral:rRNA from 1 species
GACGAACCGUGCGAACGUUGUUCGGAAUCACUGGGCUUAAAGGGCGCGUAGGCGGGCUGCCGCGUCCGGGGUGAAAUCCCACGGCUCAACCGUGGAACGGCCUCGGAUACGGGCGGCCUCGAGGGGGGUAGGGGCAUCUGGAACUGUGAGUGGAGCGGUGAAAUGCGUUGAUAUUCACAGGAACGUCCGGUGGCGAAGGCGAGGUGCUGGACCCCUU